rnacentral:rRNA from 1 species
AUUGAACGCUGGCGGCAUGCCUUACACAUGCAAGUCGAACGGCAGCACGGGAGCUUGCUCCUGGUGGCGAGUGGCGAACGGGUGAGUAAUAUAUCGGAACGUACCCUAGAGUGGGGGAUAACGCAGCGAAAGUUGCGCUAAUACCGCAUACGAUCUACGGAUGAAAGCGGGGGGAUCGCAAGACCUCGCGCGAUUGGAGCGGCCGAUAUCAGAUUAGGUAGUUGGUGAGGUAAAGGCUCACCAAGCCGACGAUCUGUAGCUGGUCUGAGAGGACGACCAGCCACACUGGGACUGAGACACGGCCCAGACUCCUACGGGAGGCAGCAGUGGGGAAUUUUGGACAAUGGGCGCAAGCCUGAUCCAGCAAUGCCGCGUGCAGGAUGAAGGCCUUCGGGUUGUAAACUGCUUUUGUACGGAACGAAACGGUGAGCUCUAAUACAGUUUGCUAAUGACGGUACCGUAAGAAUAAGCACCGGCUAACUACGUG